CAGUUUUUUUCAAUCGCUAACAAGCGUUUGUCCAAACAGUUGUCACAUUUUCAAAACUCUAAACACAAUUAGCACAGCAUCGGUGUUUUGUGGCCAUACCAUUCACACAUUUCAUGUCAUUUUCACACAAUAUGCAGUCAGUGAACACAUGUCCACAAUGCUUACAUUUUUCUUAACAGAUAAGCCAUACCUCCCAACAAAACGAUGGAUUGUUUUAGUAGUAUUCACAAAUGUUAACACACACCAUCCCACAAUAGCAAAAACAAUAUUCCAAACCGUAGAUACAGUAUAAAAACCUCUGCUUCUGCAAUGAUAUCAGUUCAAAAACAAUAUAUCUCAGCUGAUAAUGAACACUAUUGAAUAAUUGACAGCUGAUUUAUGUUGGGUAAAUUGGGCCAACAACAGCUGAUUCCAGUCUGGCUUAUUUAAGGAGGACUUUGAGGAGUGAUGUUUUUGGAAACAGAAACAGACAAACACUGUAAAGUCUGGACGAGGAAGAGGAAGAGCAAGGGGCCCAGGGAGAAGACCAGGUCCUGUGAGAGGUGCAGGUGAAGAAGGAGGUGCAGGUGCAGGAAGAGGAGCAGUGAGAGGUGCAGUAAGAGGUGCAGGUCCAGUGAGAGAUGUAGAAGGAGGUGCAGUGAGAGGAAGAGGAGCCGGCCCAAGGAGAGAGCAAGGUAGAGGUGUAAGAAUGCGUGGUGGUGGCAUUCCAAGGGCUGUAAGAACAGUAGUCAGUGAUGAAAUUCGUGCCACUAUCAUUGACCAUGUAAUCAACCCCGGUCUCUCACUAAGAGAGGCUGGUGAAAGAGUCCAACCCAAUUUGAGUCGGUCAACGGUUGCCUCCAUUAUUCGUAUCUUUCAACAAACCAACAGGUAAGUAUUGAAUUUUACAUGGUUUGUUUCUAUACUCAUUUGACAUG
ensembl:lncRNA